rnacentral:rRNA from 1 species
GGGCCCGCACAAGCGGUGGAGCAUGUGGUUUAAUUCGACGCAACGCGAAGAACCUUACCUGGGCUCGAACGGCUUCCCAACGGUGUCAGAAAUGAUGCUAUCCCGCAAGGGAGUGGAGUCGAGGUGCUGCAUGGCUGUCGUCAGCUCGUGUCGUGAGAUGUUGGGUUAAGUCCCGCAACGAGCGCAACCCUUGUCCUGUGUUGCAACUAAUAGGCACUCUCAGGAGACCGCCAGCGAUAAGCUGGAGGAAGGUGGGGAUGACGUCAAGUCAUCAUGGCCUUUAUGUCCAGGGCUACACACGUGCUACAAUGGGCGGUACAGACCGCUGCAAACCCGCGAGGGGGAGCAAAUCGGAAAAAACCGUUCUCAGUUCGGAUUGCAGGCUGCAACUCGCCUGCAUGAAGCUGGAAUCGCUAGUAAUGGCAUAUCAGAACGAUGCCGUGAAUACGUUCCCGGGCCUU